CCCUUAGAUGUUCUGGGCUGCACGCGCGCUACACUGAAGCGUUCAACGAGUAUUCACCUUGCCCGGGAGGGUUGGGUAAUCUUUUUAAAACGCUUCGUGAUGGGGAUAGAUUAUUGCAAUUAUUAAUCUUCAACGAGGAAUUCCUAGUAAGCGCGAGUCAUCAGCUCGUGCUGAUUACGUCCCUGCCCUUUGUACACACCGCCCGUUGCUCCUACCGAUUGAGUGAUCCGGUGAAUAAUUCGGACUGCAGCAGUGCUUGGUCCUCCGGGCUUUGCAGCGGAAAGUUUAGUGAACCUUAUCACUUAGAGGAAGGAGAAGUCGUAACA
rnacentral:rRNA from 1 species